GCGACUGGGCUACAGAGUGAGACUUUGUCUCAAAAAAAAAAAAAAUGUUGCCCCAGAUUUUAACCAACCAUAUACCAUUAUCAACCAUAUACAAAUAAUAUUGCUAAUGAGCAAGAAAGUGGAAGUAAACAUGUAGACAUUCAUGUAUCAGGCUCUGCUACCAGUUGCUUAUUUUGGCUGUGUACUUGUGUCCAAGGUCAUUCACUCACUGGGUAGGUUUAUGUCCUAUGAUGCCAUCAACUGCCAGUCAAAGAACUAAUCAGCAUGAGCAAACUAGUGUUCACACAAAACUGGUACAAUUGAAACCAAAAUCAAAGACACUUUUAUUGUAGAUAAAUGUACAAUUUCCAUUAGGCUUGUUAAAAUACUGAAAGCAAUUUAAAUUCAUUUAUUCAUUCAAAAACAAAUAUUUACUGAGCAUCCCUGUCCAUCCAUGCUGGCUAGGCAGCAAGGACAAAAUAAAUAACACCUAAUAGCCUCAGGGGAUUCAAACAAACAUACCCCUAUAUUAUUUUCAUGGAUCCCAAAGAUUCUGAAGAUGUUGCACCAAUAAAAUUGGGAGAGUGCUGGAAGGGAUGACAUUUUUAUUCCCUUAUGAACACAAACAACUUAUCAAAAGGCAGCCUGUUCCACAAAGAACCUCUCAACAUUACAGCCCUAGCAUUUCGGGAGGACGAAGAGGGUGGAUUGCGUGAGCUCAGGAGUUCAAGACCAGCCUGGGCAACAUGGCAAAACCUCAUCUCUAUUAAAAAUAAAACAUAAAAGGCUUUGCAGAUGCUGCCGCCACCGGGAGCCCUGUACUCUCAGACAUGGUUAACCCCACCAUGACAUCGCCUUCGACAAUGGGCCAUGUCUCCUUUGAGCUAUUUGCAGACAAGUUUCCAAAGACAGCAGAAAACGUUCAUGCUCUGAGCACUGGAGAAAAAGGAUUUGGUUAUAAGGGCUCCUGCUUUCACAGAAUUAUUAUUCCAGGGUUUAUGUGUCAGGGUGGUGACUUCACACGCCAUAAUGGCACUGGCAGCAAGUCCAUCUACGAGGAGAAAUUUGAUGAUGAGAACUUCAUCCUAAAGCAUACAGGUCCUGGCAUCUUGUCCAUGCCAAAUGCUGGACCCAACACAAACAGUUCCCAGUUUUUCAUCUGCACUGCCAAGACUGAGUGGUUGGAUGGCAAGCCUGUGGUCUUUGGCAAGGUGAAAGAAGGCAUGAAUAUUGUGAAGGCCACAGAGCACUUUGAGUCCAGGAAUGGCAAGACCAGCAAGAAGAUCACCACUGCUAACUGUGGACAACUUGACUUGUGUUUUAUCUUAACCACCAGAUCAUUCCUUCUGUAGCUCAGGAGAGCACCCCUGCACCCCAUUUGCUCGCAGUAUCCUAGAAUCUUUAUGCUCUCGCUGCAGUUCCCUUUGGGUUCCAUGUUUUCUUUGUUCCCUUCCAUGCCUAGCUGGAUUGCAGAGUUAAGUUUAUGAUUAUGAAAUAAAAACUAAAUAACAAAAAUAAAUAAAUAAAACAUAAAAAAUAAAAACAAAGUACAGCCCUACUGUGGAGAUACAAGCUGCCCCACUGCUAGAAAAUCAAGAAGAGAUUUCUGAAAUCAAGGACUUUGUCCACAAUUCAACAAACAUUUACUGAAUUUCUAUUUUGUCCUUAGACACUCUGCUAGAUCAGCAAACUGAGGCUCUCAGGCCAAAUCUAGCCCAAACACCUUGUUUUUGUAAACAAAGUUUUAUUAGACACAGCUACACAUGUCCAUUUAAAUAUUAUCUAUGGCUGUUUUCCUGUUACAACUUGCAGUAUAGCCCAUCAAGCCUAAAACAUUUACUCUCUGGCCCUCCACAGAAAAUGUCUGCUCAUCUCUAUGCUACACUCUAGAAAGAUGCAGAAAUGUAUCUUGAUCUAAGUGGUAGUUGCAUAGAUAAAUACAUUGGUAAAAAUUCAUCAAGCAUUUAAUUCAUUUUAUUGGAUAUAUGCCAUAACUCAAUACUUCAUUUUUUAAUGAAAUAAAGAGUAAUCAGUCCCUGCCUUCUAGCAAUUUAAAAUCUGGUAGGAGGAUAUCGAAGUAAAUAAUUAAAAUACAAUAGUGAGCCCGCACAGUGGCUCACACCUGUAAUCCUAGCACUUUGGGUGGCCAA